rnacentral:rRNA from 1 species
GUGGGGAAUAUUGCACAAUGGGCGAAAGCCUGAUGCAGCAACGCCGCGUGAGCGAUGAAGGCCUUUGGGUCGUAAAGCUCUGUCCUUGGGGAAGAAACAAAUGACGGUACCCUUGGAGGAAGCCCCGGCUAACUACGUGCCAGCAGCCGCGGUAAUACGUAGGGGGCGAGCGUUAUCCGGAAUUAUUGGGCGUAAAGAGUGCGUAGGUGGUUUGAUAAGCGUGGGGUGAAAGGCAAUAGCUUAACUAUUGUAAGCCUUGCGAACUGUCAGACUUGAGUGCAGGAGAGGAAAGUGGAAUUCCUAGUGUAGCGGUGAAAUGCGUAGAUAUUAGGAGGAACACCAGUGGCGAAGGCGACUUUCUGGACUGUAACUGACACUGAGGCACGAAAGCGUGGGGAGCAAACAGGAUUAGAAACCCCAGUAGUCC